CUUAGGCAAAUGCUGCAUAUAAUUGUUAUGUAGAGGAAAGUCCAUGCUCACACAAGCUGCGAUGCUUGUAGUGUUCGUGCUUAAGGAAAAAAUAACUUAAGGUAGCUUUAGCUAACGGCUUCGAGGAAACCUCAAAUGGUUUUAGUAGAUAUAAAAGUGCCAUAGAGACGAGUCAUUUGGGAAACUAAAUGAGUGGAACGGGGUAAACCCCACGAGUGAGAAACCCAAAUUUUGGUAGGGGAGCUUGAAUUUAGGAAUUGAACUAAAAAAAGCCUUAAUAAGGAGAUAAAUAUUUGCCACUUUCAAAUAGGAAGUACAGAACAUGGCUUAUU
rnacentral:RNase_P_RNA from 1 species